UACGUAGGUGGCAAGCGUUGUUCGGAAUUAUUGGGCGUAAAGGGCGCAUAGGCGGUCUGUUAAGUCGGUUGUGAAAGCCCGGGGCUCAACCCCGGAGGGUCGACCGAUACUGGCAGACUAGAGUACGGAAGAGGUAGCUGGAAUUCCCGGUGUAGCGGUGAAAUGCGCAGAUAUCAGGAGGAACACCGGUGGCGAAGGCGGGUCUCUGGGCCGAUACUGACGCUGAGGAGCGAAAGCGUGGGGAGCGAUCCGG
rnacentral:rRNA from 1 species